rnacentral:rRNA from 1 species
UACGAAGGGGGCAAGCGUUGUUCGGAAUUACUGGGCGUAAAGGGCGCGUAGGCGGCUCUUCAAGUCAGGCGUGAAAGCCCCGAGCUUAACUCGGGAAUUGCGCUUGGGACUGAAGGGCUUGAGGACGGGAGAGGUGCGUGGAAUUUCCAGUGUAGAGGUGAAAUUCGUAGAUAUUGGAAAGAACACCGGUGGCGCAAGCGACGCACUGGCCCGUUUCUGACGCUAAAGAGCGAAAGCGUGGGGAGCAAACAGG